UAGAUUCUAGGGCUCCACCACCUUUUACAUUGUCUCUCCUAUUAUAUCCUUAAUCUUUUGUACAAGGUAUAGCCAACCAUUCUCCUGUUCUCCUUGUGAAUCUAAUGAUGUUCAGCAAGGAAAUCAGAUAACACUCUUCGCAGGUGGAUACGGGUGUCAACCAUCGUGUUCGAGCAAGUUCAGUGCAUAGCUGUGUUGGAACAAGUUUAGUGCAUAGCUAUUAAAAACAACUUUUUGGUUUCCAAUUAUAGCAAUGGUUAUAGCCAUUUUAGCUUUAGUAUUGUACUUGCUGUUGGAUCCGACACCAGUUAUCGCAGGGCAGUAAGUGCCCACAAUCUGAAUUCUGAGACUGAGAGAAAGGAAGGUAAUGAUUCAUAUAGAACUUACUAGUUUAUUUCAUCUUGGCCUCUACAUUUAUGCAUAUAUUUGGUGUGCUGAUUCUUGAUAGGUAGAUGCAGAGCAUAUUCACAAGAAACAAAAGAACAGCAGGCAUGGUAUGAGUCAUGGGAUCAUAUGAUGUGUAGCUUCCCACUCUCCAGAUAAUAGUUACCUUCCACAUUUUAUGCAUCUGUCAACUUGUGGGCUCUAUUGUUCACAACUUAUAUAUAUUUGGCUCACUCGAACAUUCUAUUUCAACCUGUAUAGUCCAUUUCUUCUAGCAUUUAGCAAUGGACCCCGACCCCAUCUCCCCCAUACACGCAUCCAUUCCUCACCUUGGAUUAUUCAGAAAAAGAAUGAUAUUGUCUGCGAAUUGCAUGAGAGAUUGGCAGAGUACAAUUUGGUAGGGUAAUACCUUGGAUUAGUUUCAUUUCCACCGCUUUUUGUAACAUUCUUGCCAGUGAUUCCCCAACUAAGUUAAACAAGGGGGACAAAGGGUCCCCUUGCCGCAGCCCUCUCGAGGGAGCAAACUCCUCCGACAGGCUUCCAUUCACCAAAACUGAAAUCCUUGAUGAGAGAAAAAUUUCUUUUAUCCAAGUUAUCCAUUUGCCUUCAAAUUCCAUUGUUUGCAUAUAUAACCUCGAGCAGAAAAUCCC
rnacentral:lncRNA from 1 species